rnacentral:tRNA from 1 species
GGGGUUGUGGUUCAGUGAUAGAGCAUUUGCCUGCCAUGUAUAAGGCACUGGGUUCAAUUCUCAGCACCA